GACUGAGCUGGGGAGGGGAGGGCCGGCCCGCGCAGACCAGGGGCCCACCGGGGUGCGGGGAGUGGGGGGUGGUGCCCCUGAACUUGGCCGCCCCGGAGGCUUGUGGUCUUUCCACCGCAGGCUGGGCCGGGGAGGCGCCGGGCGGGCGGCUGUUUCUCCUGGAAGGGCCAGCAGCCCGGUCGCCCGCCGGGGCCCUCGCCGGCCCCUCCCCGAGACCUCGAACGUUCCAGAGCCCGGGGAACCCUCACAUCAGCUAGAUUGCCUCACAGCCUCUCAGAUGAACCGGAGGACCAUAUCUUUGCAGUAUCUUCUCCAGGAGCCAUUGCAGGGUUUCUGGCAGAAGAGUGACAUUAUGUGACAUAUUUAAAAUAACCCUUCUGGCUGCUGUGUUGGUAAUGAAUCAAAGAUGCAAGGAUGGAAGCAAGGAAGUCUGCUAAAAGAGUCAGACUGGAACUUACACCAUCAGCUCUCCUGGGUCUGGACUCCUCAGCCUCUAUAACUGCACGAGCCAAUUCCAUAUAAUAAAUCUCUUUAUAUAUAUCUCUA